UUGGCGGGCGUGCUGGGGGCCUGGGCCGCCUGCCCGUUCUUCUCGUCUGAAAAAAGUUGUUUAAUUACGUCAAAGAAGUUACUCAAUGGGCUGCCUGGGUACACAGAACAGAGACAAAAAAAAGAGAAAAGAAAAGGAAAGAGGAAGGGAGGGAAGGAGAGAGAAAGAACAAACAAACAAAUGAACGAAGGGGCCUCCACAGAGAAGGGAAAACCCAACGAGACAAUCCUGGCCUCAGUUUCCCUCCCUGAGAGAGAGGGCUUAUUUCUUAAGAGCUCAAGGAGUCAGAGGCUGCUACAGGUUGACAGUGCGGCCUCCAGCACUGAAGAUGCCCGUGUGUCCUGCUGCCCGGGAACCUGCCCACCGUGCCAGCCCCUGGGGCCGGGGUUAGGGCUGAGGCUGCUGGGAGCUCAGCCUCCACCCACCUAUGGGUGAGCCCAGCAAAGCCAGGCGAGUCCCGCCUGGGACGUGGACAGCCACUGGCAGAGCGAGGCCAGCGCAGUGUGGUGGGAAGACAAGACAGGAGACAGAGCCCCGGGCCCAGGGGUGUUUGCCCAGAGGCAGCAGAUGCCCAGCUGCUCCUUUGCCGCCCUGCCCCCAUGGGGCUGCAUGGCGGCCUGCACGUCACCACCAGGUCCCAGAGAAGCGUCACCCCUCCGAGGCCUGUCCAGGCGAGCGGCCUGCUGCACGGGGCUCACCGACAGGAAGGCGUGGACGAUGUCGGCCUUGAUGGAGCUCAGCGGCUUG